rnacentral:rRNA from 1 species
GAUGAACGCUGACAGAAUGCUUAACACAUGCAAGUCUUUGGCGAAGCUGUGCUUGCACAGCCUAGCCAAGGCGGACGGGUGAGUAACGCGUAAGGAACUUGCCCUGCAGUCAGGGAUAACAGACGGAAACGACUGAUAAGACCUGGUAAAGUCAGGCGGACUCAUGUCCAGCCUGAUGAAAAGAGAUGCUGCAUGAGAGCCUUACGUCCUAUUAGCUUGUUGGUGGGGUAAUGGCCCACCAAGGAGAUGAUAGGUAGCCGGCCUGAGAGGGUGGACGGCCACAAGGGGGCUGAGAUGCGGCGCUCACGACUACGAGAGGAAGCAGUGGUGAAUAUUGGACAAUGGGGGCAAAAAUCAUCAACCAAUUCUGUGUGCACGAUGAAGGUUUUCGGAUUGUAAAGUGCUUCCAUCAGGGAAGAAAAAAAUGACGGUACCUGCAGAAGAAGCGACGGCUAACUACGUG